AAAAAGUGAUUUCAACAAUGUGCAGUCAAAAAAUAUUCAGUUGGACAAUGUGUCUAUAUUUUUAUUUUCUCAAAUAUCCUGUUUUCUAUUUUCUUGCGAAGUCAACGGUUAAACGGCAAUCAUCAUGGCGGACAUGAAACUGUAGAUUCUUGAAAUAUUUUCUCAAUAUGAUAAACGCAACCAAAUUCAUCGCACAUCUAAACGUGAACAAAGUGAAGGCGAGCAAAAACUGUCCACCUCAAGGAUUCCAAACACGACAACAACUCCUCGCCACGAUAAAUUCUGAAAAUUCGGUGAGCAAGAAUUUUCCAAGAAUUUUCGUCUACCGUCAACAAAGGAAAGGGCAGUGAGUUCGUGCUCGUUUCG